rnacentral:tRNA from 1 species
GGAGACGUGUUCGGAAUGGUAACGUACUAAUUUCGAAAAUUAGUGGGAAUUAUUCCCGUCAGGGUUCGAGUCCCUGCGUCUCCGCCA